UACGUAGGCAGCGAGCGUUGUUCGGAGUUACUGGGCGUAAAGGGUGUGUAGGCGGUUGCUUAAGUUUGGUGUGAAAUCUCCCGGCUCAACUGGGAGGGUGCGCCGAAUACUGAGUGACUCGAGUGCGGGAGAGGAGAGUGGAAUUCCUGGUGUAGCGGUGAAAUGCGUAGAUAUCAGGAGGAACACCGGUGGUGUAGACGGCUCUCUGGACCGUAACUGACGCUGAGACAUGAAAGCGUGGGUAGCAAACAGG
rnacentral:rRNA from 1 species